rnacentral:lncRNA from 1 species
AGCAAGUGGAAUCCAAGAACAGGUCCCUGAAAGUCGACAUUCAGGUCCUGGGAGCCACAAAUAUAGUGAUAUACAGUGUGAUACAACGAUAUACAGCAGAUGUAUAUACUAUAUAAAUGCAGUAGAACUGGAUCCAAAAAGCCCCUAAAAUUCCAAAAGUUGUAUUUUGUUAUUAUUCGGCCUAAGCCCUUUGUUUUUAAUUAUUCUUAUCUUGUUAGUCUGUAGGACAGGUGAAAUUGGGCCAAAGGCCCAAAGAAUAGUCAUUUUCAAGUUAGCCUAUGACAGGUACAAAUGGGUUAAAAGUCCAAAAGCAGAAAUUAGGCCCAAGUAUUGGCACAGGCAGACAGAACCAGCUAUGGGCCCAAUUCUUUCCUUCCUUAUUUAUUUCAGAGUAAAUUUUAGGUUUAGCAAACAUAAAAAUCAUAUUUGUAUGUUAUAGCUAUAGUUUGUAUAAUUGUGCUCAAUAGCAAACUUUAUGUUUGCUAUGGCUAUUAAUGUGUAUAUUCCGGUAUACAUAUACAAAAGAAUCAAUUGUAUAAUAUGUGUUGGUACAAAGCGAGGAAGAGAUAAAGACAAAAGAAAACUGGGAAGUGGAAGAUCUGUAUUGGUUGUAUAGGAUGAAAAUAAAUGUAUUUGUAUUUGUAUAUAGAAUUUUCUCUCACUUUAUACAAACACAAAUGCAAUUUAUACAUUUGUGUUUGUAUAAAGUGAGAGGGGCGAGUGAGAGUGGUGAGCGAGAUUUGGGAGAGUGGC